AUAUUGCACAAUGGGGGGAACCCUGAUGCAGCGACGCCGCGUGAGUGAAGGAGCGCCUCGGCGCGUAAAGCUCUAUCAGCAGGGAAGAAAAUGACGGUACCUGACUAAGAAGCCCCGGCUAACUACGUGCCAGCAGCCGCGGUAAUACGUAGGGGGCAAGCGUUAUCCGGAUUUACUGGGUGUAAAGGGAGCGUAGACGGCAUAGCAAGUCUGAAGUGAAAGGCAUGGGCUCAACCCGUGGACUGCUUUGGAAACUGUUAAGCUGGAGUGCAGGAGAGGUAAGUGGAAUUCCUAGUGUAGCGGUGAAAUGCGUAGAUAUUAGGAGGAACACCAGUGGCGAAGGCGGCUUACUGGACUGUAACUGACGUUGAGGCUCGAAAGCGUGGGGAGCAAA
rnacentral:rRNA from 1 species